AGUACUCAUGUUUUUCUCUCAAAAGAAUCCAACGAAAUCCAUCAGCCUAAAUGCUCUCCGCCAUCUGCUGUCACGCUGGAAGCGCCGCCGGCCUUGACCAGGCCCGACACCGUCUCACUCAGUGUCGCGACGACUCGCCGCUGCAAAACGCAACGGCGGAACGUGUGGCUGCAGAAUCGCGCCAUAAUCGUUCUUCCUCGCCGCUGCAGCUUAUCUAGCCUGCCAUCGUUGCACGGCCGUCAAGCACCCACCACCGCGAUUUCACUCUUUGACCACCGAGCAUCUGAGGUCGCUGGAACAACCUCGCUCUGACGCCGUGAGGAAAUCGCCAUGGAUGCCGAGGACAGUGCCACCACAAUCGCCGGAGCACUCAUCGCCGACUGGCGCUUGCACCUAUGGCCGUCCUUUUGGUGCUGCUGCGGUUUCUGGCGUGUGGACAACGUGCAAAGGAAUCACAACACCACAAAGUUUGUUUUUUGAUUCCUUUUGAUUCGCAAAGGAAUCACAGUGUUCAAUGUUGUCAUAUAUCAUUAUAAUAUGAUCCCUUUCCAUUUUUUGUGUUAAGAAUUUCAAGUGCUUAGCUUUUGAUGCUUUUAUCAACCAUCAUAUGAUAAUGGAAGAUUACUCAGAAUUUCAAUUUAUAAAAGAUUGGCGG
rnacentral:lncRNA from 1 species